rnacentral:sRNA from 1 species
UUUGAAAAAAAUGCUGCCCCGAUUUUACAUUUAUGCGGCAUGGAUGUGACUAUUGUUAAGACAGAUUAUGAGGGACAAGCCAAGAAACUCCUGGAACUGAUGGAAAACACAGAUGUAAUCAUUGUUGCAGGAGGAGAUGGGACACUGCAGGAGGUUGUUACUGGUGUUCUUCGACGAACAGAUGAGGCUACCUUCAGUAAGAUUCCCAUUGGAUUUAUCCCACUGGGAGAGACCAGUAGUUUGAGUCAUACCCUCUUUGCCGAAAGUGGAAACAAAGUCCAGUAGGCAUUAUGUAAACAAAGCUCUGCUCUUUCAAGAAGAUAGGAAUCUUGAAUCUGAGCUUUGACAGUGAUUAAUAACAUCAUUUUGAGCAAAUAGUUGUCAAGAAGACCCAAAUAAAUGGAGAGAUAGCUGAGAGAUCAGUUGCCUGAUGGUUAACGUAAGCUUUGUGACACAUUGGAGGAAGUCAAUAAAUAAAUAUUUGUUGCAUG